rnacentral:rRNA from 1 species
UACGUAGGGGGCAAGCGUUGUCCGGAUUUAUUGGGCGUAAAGAGCGUGUAGGCGGCCUGAAAGGUCAGCUGUGAAAACUCGAGGCUCAACCUCGAGACGUCGGUUGAAACCAUCUGGCUAGAGUCCGGAAGAGGAGUGUGGAAUUCCCGGUGUAGCGGUGGAAUGCGCAGAUAUCUCUAAGAACACCAGUUGCGAAGGCGGCUGGCUGGGUCCACAUUGACGCUGAGGCUCGAAAGCGUGGGGAGCAAACAGGG